rnacentral:rRNA from 1 species
UACGAAGGGGGCUAGCGUUGCUCGGAAUUACUGGGCGUAAAGCGCACGUAGGCGGUCUUUUAAGUCGGGGGUGAAAUCCUGGAGCUCAACUCCAGAACUGCCUUCGAUACUGGAAGACUUGAGUCCGGGAGAGGUGAGUGGAACUGCGAGUGUAGAGGUGAAAUUCGUAGAUAUUCGCAAGAACACCAGUGGCGAAGGCGGCUCACUGGCGCGGUACUGACGCUGAGGUGCGAAAGCGUGGGGAGCAAACGGG